CAGGGUAUAGCUCAACCAGAACAGCAUCUCCCUUACACCGAGAAGGUAUCCGUGCAAAUCGGAUUAUCCUGA
rnacentral:tRNA from 1 species